rnacentral:rRNA from 1 species
GACGGAGGAUGCAAGCGUUAUCCGGAAUUAUUGAGCGUAAAGCGUCCGCAGGUGGUGUUUCAAGUCUGCCGUUAAAGCCCGGGGCUCAACCCCAGAAAGGCGGUGGAAACUGAAAGACUAGAGUGCGGUAGGGGCAGAGGGAAUUCCCGGUGUAGCGGUGAAAUGCGUAGAGAUCGGGAAGAACACCGGUGGCGAAAGCGCUCUGCUGGGCCGCAACUGACACUCAGGGACGAAAGCUAGGGGAGCGAAUGGG